rnacentral:sRNA from 1 species
CUCGGCAAGGGCCCUCGAUUUCUGCCCCUACAUCCUCAGACCAGACCGCCCCCUCAAGCCCUCAAGUCUCCCAUAUUCCGGCGGACGCCCUGUACCUUUUCCAGCGACCCACAUUCUCCCUCCGGCUGCCCCAGGAUUGCGCACUUGUCUCUGCGGAACAAUAACAUCGACGACCGCGGGGCGCAACUCCUGGGCCAGGCGCUGUCCACGCUGCACAGCUGCAACCGCACCCUUGUCUCGCUCAACCUGGGUUUCAACCACAUCGGGGACGAGGGCGCAGGCUACAUCGCGGACGUGCGUGCACGGCGGGGAGGGACCUGAUGGGAGCAGGGGCGGCUUGGGCGGCUCACGCGUCCCUGCCUGCCUCUUAGGGCCUCCGGCUGAACCGUUCCCUGCUCUGGCUGUCCCUGGCCCACAACCGCAUCCAGGACAAGGGCGCCCUGAAGCUGGCUGAGGUCCUGCGCGCCUUCGAGCUGACACACACCGAAGUGGUGGAGCGCCGACGCCUCCUGCUGGAAAAAGGGACACAGGAGCGCUCGCGAUCGAGGUAACCAUCCCUGAACAGAAGCCAAGCAGGGCAAAAGGGAUCAAGAUCGGGAGCAGAGAGAAGCGCAGCAUCCUCCUGGAGUCCGAGAAAAAUUGCUUCGCCCCACAAUGUCCUGCGUACGCCAUAAUCCAGGAGCUGAUGUUGCCAAGGGAUCCCAUCAAGGCCAAACUCAGGGAGGAUGAGGCCAUGGCAUUCUUCCCCUAGCCCCCUCCCACCUGCUUGCCUCUAAGACUCGGGGCUACAGAAGCACCUCCUGUCCCUGUGUGGGGUGACCUCCCUGGGGGAGAUCUCAGACCAAUAACAAAGUCUCUAUACU